rnacentral:rRNA from 1 species
AUUGAACGCUGGCGGCAUGCCUAACACAUGCAAGUCGAACGGCAGCACAAUAGAGAUUUCGGUCUUUAUGGGUGGCGAGUGGCGGACGGGUGAGUAACGCGUAGGAAUCUGUCCUGGAGAGUGGGAUAACCCGAGGGAACUCGGGCUAAUACUGCAUGACAUUGAGAGAUCAAAAGCAGGGGACCGAAAGGCCUUGCGCUCUGGGGUGAGCCUACGUCGGAUUAGCUAGUUGGUGGGGUAAAGGCCUACCAAGGCGACGAUCCGUAGCUGGUCGGAGAGGAUGACCAGCCGAGCUGGGACUGAGACACGGCCCAGACUCCCACGGGAGGCAGCAGUGGGGAAUCUUGGACAAUGGGGGAAACCCUGAUCCAGCGAUGCCGCGUGUGUAAAGAAGGCCUUCGGGUUGUAAAGCACUUUAGGUGGGGAAGAAAGGUAGCGAGUGAAUAACUUUCUGCUGUGACGGUACCCACAGAAUAAGCACCGGCUAACUCUGUGCCAGCCGCCGCAGUAA